GCCGGCAUAGCUCAGCUGGUAGAGCAGCGGUUUUGUAAACCGAAGGUCGGGGGUUCGAGUCCCUCUGCCGGCACCA
rnacentral:tRNA from 1 species